AAAGAAUAUUUCUUAUGUUUGGCAUCUUUACUGGUUGAUUUUAUUUGCAGAGAAGGGGUUCUAGUGAAAUGUGAGGCAUGUGGUGUAAUUGAAGUGAAUUCCAGUCUUCCAGGAUUACCAGAAUUGACCUUGUCAUUUGCUAAUCCCACCCUUAUCAAUGAUGUGAGGUUCCACCCUUGUGUCAGAUUCAGACCUUGGGAGUCCAAUCAGAUCCUAUCAUUUGUUCCUCCUGAUGGGCAGUUCAAGCUUAUGAGUUAUAGGGUUAAGAAACUGAAGACCACACCAAUUUAUGUGAAGCCACAGUUAUCAUCUGAUUCUGGGAAUUGCCGUGUCAAUGUGAUGGUUGGGAUACGGAAUGAUCCUGGAAAACCUAUUAAUUCUAUAACAGUGCAGUUUCAGUUGCCUCCACCUGCUACGGCCCUUGAUUUUUAUAUUAUUAGUACUAAACAACUGCGUCUGGAAUGGACGGCUCGUGUAUGCGCCCACACAUGUACGUUACGUAGUACACAGCCACAUCCCUGUUCAACGAGACCUUUGCUGUGUGGACAUUGGCCGGUGCCAAUAGUGUCAAGUAUGAAUGGUGUGUGUGUGUGUACUGCGUGGGAGAGGUAA
rnacentral:rRNA from 1 species